rnacentral:rRNA from 1 species
UGUGACCUCAAAUCAGGUAGGACUACCCGCUGAACUUAAGCAUAUCAAUAAGCGGAGGAAAAGAAACUAACAAGGAUUCCCCUAGUAACUGCGAGUGAAGCGGGAAAAGCUCAAUUUAAAAUCUGGCGGUCUUCUGGCUGUCCGAGUUGUAAUCUAGAGAAGUGUUAUCCGCGCUG